AUCUAUAUAUAUAUAUAUAUAUAUAUAUACAUGUAAAGCGACUUAAGUACGUAAACGUAUCAUGCACGAGGUAUAGCUGUGUUUUGUUGGCGGGCGGGGCGCGAGGCAUAUAUGGCGGCAGCGGCGUCGGCUGUAGGGAUAUAUAAAUGAAUAUUAACAUAUACGUAUAUAUAAAUAAUAAUAUAUAUAUGUAUAUAUAUAUUAAUAUUAGCGGCGAUGGUAAGAAUAUAUAAUCUUCGCAUAAUAUCGUGGCACUUUCGUUGGCGUUGACGACGCUAUGUCCGGCGUGGUCCUCGGGCGUCAAAAGGUUAGCAGCGUUGAUGGCGACGGUGCGCGAGUGGAGAUCGGUUUAUUGACGUUGCCACUUUGACAACAGGAAGAAUACUACGGUAUCAUUAGCGGCGGUACGUCGUCGGCCGUGCGGCACUUGCUGGACUUUGCACCGCGGCGUUUACUCAAAAUUAUACAGAAAAAAAUAGUGUAGGCGCUGACUGGUGAGCGGGGUGGGGUGAAUGCGUUACGACGGUCUAGUCUCAAGGUCAUAGACGACGGGAUACGCGACAUAAUAACACGUGCCGCGUGGAGUUACAAACUUACAACAUACAAACAAUAUACAAACAUACAUGUGAAACUAAUAUAAGCGUGUUAAAAAAGCAAAAGGUGUUUCAUAUGCAACAGCCCGUACCACUACCUUAGGCGGGACUGCCGAAGUAAAGUAACAAUGAAAAAGCGUUUGAAAAUCGCGAGGCGAGAAGUGGCGAAUUUGCGACGCCUUCUUAAAGAAGCUAAGGAGGAAACGGCACCACAGCAGCAGGAGGGACCACCACCUCCUCCUGACGUAGAAAGCCGCCGGAACAAGAAUGCAAUGAGAGUGGGCAAUGAUUUUUUUUGUAUACUAUUAAAAUAAAUAGUGUG